rnacentral:rRNA from 1 species
GAGAGGAUGAUCAGCCACACUGGAACUGAGACACGGUCCAGACUCCUACGGGAGGCAGCAGUGGGGAAUAUUGCACAAUGGGCGCAAGCCUGAUGCAGCCAUGCCGCGUGUGUGAAGAAGGCCUUCGGGUUGUAAAGCACUUUCAGUCGUGAGGAAGGUAGUGUAGUUAAUAGCUGCAUUAUUUGACGUUAGCGACAGAAGAAGCACCGGCUAACUCCGUGCCAGCAGCCGCGGUAAUACGGAGGGUGCGAGCGUUAAUCGGAAUUACUGGGCGUAAAGCGCAUGCAGGUGGUUUGUUAAGUCAGAUGUGAAAGCCCGGGGCUCAACCUCGGAAUAGCAUUUG